rnacentral:rRNA from 1 species
GACGAACGCUGGCGGCGUGCCUAAUACAUGCAAGUCGACCUUAGUGGCGAACGGGUGAGUAACAUGUGGGUAACCUACCCAUCAGAAGGGGAUAACACUUGGACACAGGUGCUAAUACCGUGUAAUGAUGGAUGGACCCGAGGUGCAUUAGCUAGUUGGUGAGGUAACGGCUCACCAAGGCCACGAUGCAUACCCGAUCUGAGAGGGUGAUCGGCCACAGUGGGACUGAGACACGGCCCAAACUCCUACGGGAGGCAGCAGUAGGGAAUCUUCGGCAAUGGACGAAAGUCUGACCGAGCCACGCCGCGUGAGUUAAGAAGGUUUUCGGAUCGUAAAACUCUGUUGUUAGAGAAGCGGUAUCUAACCAGAAAGCCCCGGCUAACUUCGUGCCAGCAGCCGCGGUAAUUC